AUGCAAUGAUGCAUGAAUUUCUUCACCUGAAAUCACUAUGAAGUGUAAAAUCUGAACUUUUUAACACUGAGUCACA
ensembl:snoRNA SNORD36 Small nucleolar RNA SNORD36